rnacentral:rRNA from 1 species
AUUGAACGCUGGCGGAAUGCUUUACACAUGCAAGUCGAACGGCAGCACGGGGGCAACCCUGGUGGCGAGUGGCGAACGGGUGAGUAAUACAUCGGAACGUGCCCAGUCGUGGGGGAUAACGUAGCGAAAGUUACGCUAAUACCGCAUACGAUCUACGGAUGAAAGCGGGGGACCGUAAGGCCUCGCGCGAUUGGAGCGGCCGAUGUCAGAUUAGGUAGUUGGUGAGGUAAAGGCUCACCAAGCCGACGAUCUGUAGCUGGUCUGAGAGGACGACCAGCCGCACUGGGACUGAGACACGGCCCAGACUCCUACGGGAGGCAGCAGUGGGGAAUUUUGGACAAGGGGCGCAAGCCUGAUCCAGCCAUUCCGCGUGCAGGACGAAGGCCUUCGGGUUGUAAACUGCUUUUGUACGGAACGAAAAGGCUCUGGUUAAUACCUGGGGCUCAUGACGGUACCGUAAGAAUAAGCACCGGCUAACUACGUGCCAGCCGCCGCAGUAA